rnacentral:rRNA from 1 species
CCUACGGGUGGCAGCAGUGAGGAAUAUUGGUCAAUGGACGAGAGCCUGAACCAGCCAAGUAGCGUGAAGGAUGACUGCCCUAUGGGUUGUAAACUUCUUUUAUAAAGGAAUAAAACGAGGCACGUGUGCCUUUUUGCAUGUACUUUAUGAAUAAGGAUCGGCUAACUCCGUGCCAGCAGCCGCGGUAAUACGGAGGGUCUGAGCGUUAUCCGGAUUUAUUGGGUUUAAAGGGAGCGUAGAUGGGUUGUUAAGUCAGUUGUGAAAGUUUGCGGCUCAACCGUAAAAUUGCAAUUGAUACUGGCAGGCUUGAGUACAGUUGAGGUAGGCGGAAUUCGUGGUGUAGCGGUGAAAUGCUUAGAUAUCACGAAGAACCCCGAUUGCGAAGGCAGCUUACUAAACUGUGACUGACAUUGAUGCUCGAAAGUGUGGGUAUCAAACAGGAUUAGAUACCCGAGUAGUC